GAUGAACGCUGGCGGCGUGCUUAACACAUGCAAGUCGAACGGAAAGGCUCCUGCUUGCAGGGGUACUCGAGUGGCGAACGGGUGAGUAACACGUGGGUGAUCUGCCCUGCACUUCGGGAUAAGCCUGGGAAACUGGGUCUAAUACCGGAUAGGACGAUGGUUUGGAUGCCAUUGUGGAAAGUUUUUCGGUGUGGGAUGAGCUCGCGGCCUAUCAGCUUGUUGGUGGGGUAAUGGCCUACCAAGGCGUCGACGGGUAGCCGGCCUGAGAGGGUGUACGGCCACAUUGGGACUGAGAUACGGCCCAGACGCCUACGGGAGGCAGCAGUGGGGAAUAUUGCACAAUGGGCGCAAGCCUGAUGCAGCGACGCCGCGUGGGGGAUGACGGCCUUCGGGUUGUAAACUCCUUUCGCUAGGGACGAAGCGCAAGUGACGGUACCUGGAGAAGAAGCACCGGCUAACUACGU
rnacentral:rRNA from 1 species